UGAAGGGUUGUUUUUUAAAGUAUUUUUUAUUAAUAUAACAUGAACCUUAAAAAUUUUCUCCCUUUCCCAUUGAAAACAGCCGCCAGCCGUUCCUUCUCUCUCGUUCCACCUCUCUGUGUCCUUUACAGAUUACCUCCUCUGUCAUCUCCCCGUCUUCCACUGCCUUCUCUCUCUCGUUAUCUUCUUUUCAUCGAAGACCCAUUCUAAUCCAUUGGCGCCAUUGCAUGUGAUUCACUCCACCACAACAUCUCCUGCUACAAUCAUCAAACAGGAGUAGUACUGCUGUUGCUGGAUUUUGUGGAUGCUGAUGUUCCUGGAAUUUGCACAUCCUAUAUAAUGUGAAUGUUUCGGUUAAAUUUAUGCUAAUUUGGAUUUAAAGAUAGUGAUUUGUUUGGAGUUUGAAAUAUGUAAUAAGUAAUUUGUUAUUUAUAAAUUUCUAGUGUGAAUAUUCAACACCUCACACUAAAGAGUUUAGACAAACAACAAGACGAUCAAUUAACGAAUUAUGUUGAAUGAAUUUGCAUCUACCUUCAAUUUAA